CAGGGAGACAACAAAAUGUUUAAUAUUAUUAUUUUGUCACCUUAGGUCGAUCGGUAUCUCACGUUCUUAAUUUGUUAAGAAUUUCAUUUCCUAAGUUUUUCUAGGUCACACCCAUUAUUUUUCCUGGGCCAUUAGCUCAGGUGGUUAGAGCGCACCCCUGAUAAGGGUGAGGUCCCUGGUUCAAGUCCAGGAUGGCCCAUAUCUCUAUGUUGGGGGUAUAGCUCAGUUGGUAGAGCGCUUGCUUUGCAAGCCGGAUGUCAGCGGNUCGAGUCCCCUUACCUCCACUGAUUACCACCUCUUCCAUAACCGGUAUAAAGGAAAUGUUUUGAGUUGUGAUUAUUAUUCUGAACGAAUCUAGCUUCCUAAUGAAAUCAUUAANAUGCUGGACUCAUUGAAUCAAUUUCAUUGUUUUCAGAGAACCUUGACAACUGCAUACAUUAUUUUUAAAGACAAUAAGCAUCUUUAAUGAUGCCCAUUUAUUAUUUUUGCGAAUGCAUUAAUAACAAUUCUAUUAAGCUGAUGCUUCACUUUUUGAAGUUAUU
rnacentral:misc_RNA from 1 species